rnacentral:sRNA from 1 species
UUGGCAGCCCUGGAGGCUGAAGUCCUGUGUUGAUUCUCAGAAUAGGUACAGCACAGGAAGUUGUAGUGUACAUUUUCAGCACUCCAUCAUAAGCUACCUGAAUCCUGACCUGAAGAGAGGAGCGAAAAGUUGAGUCUCCAUAAUUCAUAGAUUCAUAGACUCU